GACAGAGGGUGCAAACGUUGUUCGGAAUUACUGGGCGUAAAGCGCGUGUAGGUGGUCUCGCAAGUCGGAUGUGAAAUCCCAGGGCUCAACCCUGGAAGAGCACCCGAAACUGCAAGACUGGAGUCCUGGAGAGGAAGGUGGAAUGCUUGGUGUAGAGGUGAAAUUCGUAGAUAUCAAGCGGAACACCAGUGGCGAAGGCGGCCUUCUGGACAGUGACUGACACUGAGACGCGAAAGCGUGGGGAG
rnacentral:rRNA from 1 species